CGAAAGCCUGACGGAGCAAUACCGCGUGAGGGAGGAAGGCUCUUGGGUCGUAAACCUCUUUUCUCAGGGAAGAACACAAUGACGGUACCUGAGGAAUAAGCAUCGGCUAACUCCGUGCCAGCAGCCGCGGUAAUACGGAGGAUGCAAGCGUUAUCCGGAAUGAUUGGGCGUAAAGCGUCCGCAGGUGGCUAUGUAAGUCUGCUGUUAAAGAGUCUAGCUCAACUAGAUAAGAGCAGUGGAAACUACAAGGCUAGAGUGCGUUCGGGGCAGAGGGAAUUCCUGGUGUAGCGGUGAAAUGCGUAGAGAUCAGGAAGAACACCGGUGGCGAAGGCGCUCUGCUAGGCCGCAACUGACACUGAGGGACGAAAGCUAGGGGAGCG
rnacentral:rRNA from 1 species